rnacentral:miRNA from 1 species
ACCCCCCCUCCUGGUGGCUUACUAUGACGUGGACUAUGUCAAGAACCCCAAGGGUAGGUCC